GGGCCGGUAGAUCAGCUGGAAGAUCGCCACCUUGGCAUGGUGGAGGUCACGGGUUCAAAUCCCGUCCGGUCCA
rnacentral:tRNA from 1 species